UGUCUCCUCCAACUCUCCUUGAAUUGGAUUCGCCCGCAUUCUGCAAGGUCUGCGGGCUUUUUUC
rfam:Noviherbaspirillum sp. Root189 contig_25, whole genome shotgun sequence.